AUUGAACGCUGGCGGCAGGCCUAACACAUGCAAGUCGAGCGGAUGAAGGGAGCUUGCUCCUGGAUUCAGCGGCGGACGGGUGAGUAAUGCCUAGGAAUCUGCCUGGUAGUGGGGGAUAACGUCCGGAAACGGGCGCUAAUACCGCAUACGUCCUGAGGGAGAAAGUGGGGGAUCUUCGGACCUCACGCUAUCAGAUGAGCCUAGGUCGGAUUAGCUAGUUGGUGGGGUAAAGGCCUACCAAGGCGACGAUCCGUAACUGGUCUGUGAGGAUGAUCAGUCACACUGGAAGUGAGACACGGUCCAGACUCCUAAGGGAGGCAGCAGUGGGGAAUAUUGGACAAAAGGCGAAAGCCUGAUCCAGCCAUGCCGCGUGUGUGAAGAAGGUCUUCGGAUUGUAAAGCACUUUAAGUUGGGAGGAAGGGCAGUAAGUUAAUACCUUGCUGUUUUGACGUUACCAACAGAAUAAGCACCGGCUAACUUCGUG
rnacentral:rRNA from 1 species